rnacentral:rRNA from 1 species
GACAGAGGGUGCAAACGUUGUCCGGAAUUAUUGGGCGUAAAGAGCUUGUAGGCGGUUUGUCGCGUCUGCUGUGAAAUUUCGGGGCUCAACCCCGGACUUGCAGUGGGUACGGGCAGACUGGAGUGUGGUAGGGGAGACUGGAAUUCCUGGUGUAGCGGUGGAAUGCGCAGAUAUCAGGAGGAACACCGAUGGCGAAGGCAGGUCUCUGGGCCACUACUGACGCUGAGGAGCGAAAGCGUGGGGAGCGAACAGG